rnacentral:lncRNA from 1 species
GCCGGGGGUCGCCUGGCGGGGCUGUGCGGCUGCCGGCGGCGACGCGCUCGCCCUUCCUGCCCUCGGGAGAGAUCGUUUCCAGGAAUUGAGGGGCUGCGGAGGCAGGAAAUCCUGCGGGGCCCCGUGCGGGGAGCGGCCGCAACAGCAUCACCUCCGCGCGCAGGAGGGUGGGGUCCCCGGCCGCCUCCUCCCUGCUCCGUGUGAGCAUCCGCGCGAUGAAAUGUGGAAUCCGACGGUGGGAUCAAGGGUCUUGGACUCAAUUUUCCACCCUGGGUCAUCCUGUGCUGUUGAGGAGGAUUUGGGAGGACUACGGGGCCAGGUGUUGAAUCUAUGAGCAGAGAUGGAGUGCCAUUGUCCUUCCAAGUGAACAUGGAAUAGAUGGGGAGAAGCUAUGUAAGUUCUAGGCUUCCAGGAAUGGAUGCCAAAACAAUUUAUUAAAUUUGCUGUUAAGAAU